CUUACUUUGAGGAUGCAAAUUAUAUGCACAAAUUUACAACCCUUCCUUAGAAAUAAAGGCCAGCACAAAUAAAGUUUAAAUUUUGCCCUUGACAGAAAAAGGAGACAUGCUUGUGCAUUAAUAUUGAUUAGUCGUUAGCAACCGGGCAGCCACAGUUUGGUAAAUAUGUUCAUUUUUACCAAGGGCCAUGGAACAUGCAUAUAUAUCAAAAUAUCAUAUGAAAUUAUUUUUCCCAGUUUUUAAUCUCUUCUUGAAUUCUCUAACUUAAAAUAAUACAUACAUAUGACAAAGAUGCCUGGUUCCUUGAUUUCAAUAGAGUAGCAUUUAUUUGGAAAGCAAGAUUGCUUAUUUUAAACUGCGUCUCUUUUUGGAAAUAUUUAGAAUUUUGGAAGAAGUAGCCUUGGCAAUAGUGUCGUCCAGCCUUUAAUUUACAAGCGACAAAACAGCUCAGGCUAGGGCUAACAUUACAAGGGAAGCAGAACAUGGCACAAUGACUAAAAGCCUGGGAGCACUCAGCCAAGUGGCCUUGGGCAAGUUAUCUAACCUCUCAGCCUCACUUCCACAAAAGGGGGAAACUAUUUCAUGGGGUUUUGUGGAAAUUAAGUGAACUAACAAAUAUUAGAGUAUUUUGCACAAUACCUGACAUCCAGUAAGGUCUCAAUAAAUGGUCAGUGUUAUUGUAGGAUUAUCUUUAUUAAGUGAUUCACGACCAGUUAGUGUCAGAACUGGAUGUAAAAGCACUUUUGGAAAAAGUGGUAUCAUAAGCUGGCUCCUUAUCUCUUCCAUAUACCUGGGCCGAAGGGCGAAAAACCGUGUCAUUAGUGUUUUCCCCAAAUGCAGCAUAAUUCACUACCUCCUCUCUUCUUUUAUCCCUACAACAAUCAUUCAACCUUUUAGGAAGUGUUUUCCAUCAGACUAUAACUUCGAAGUUGGCCAUUUUAAACUCCAGGUCAGAAAGGUUCAAAUGCGCUUUCACAAAGGGGAUAAACAUAGAUGCAGGAAGUCUGAAGGGCAACGAUUCCAUGGCUCACAUAACCUGCUUCCUAGUUAUUCAAGCUGGGCUCUUCCUGGAAGGGGGAGGAGUGUCUGCCAUUUGAUUAAACAUUACAAUAACAUCAAAACUAAACAAAAUCAUAUAAUCAACCAGAUCUUAAUUCAAGUGCACUUACUCCGCCUUGUGAAAAGCAACCCUGUUUUAAAAAAAAAAAAAACAUUGUGCUGACAGAGCUGGUGUUUAUGAACAACUCCCUAUCUUUCCUGCUCCGCUUGCAUCUCAAGUCCUUGUGUUUACUGAGGGCUUCCUAAGUGCCAGGCAUCAUGCAAGUGCUUUGUGUACACUUUCUCAUUUAAUUCUCACAACAAAUCCUUAGAAGGAGGGAGUAAUGUAUUAUUCUCAUCCCCAUUUUGCAGAUGAGAUAACUGAGGCUGGGGAGAGUAAGCUGUCCAGGGUUACAUCAUUAGCGGUGGAGCGACAAAAUCAAAAGCAGUGUGCACGGGCCCUCGGGGCACUGCUCAGGUAUGCACAUCCUCUCUGGGCCUCAGUGUCCCAUCUUUGAGAGGAUGCAGCCACUCUGGAAGGUCCCCUGGCCUGCUACUCCAGGGCCCCCUGCUGCUGUUGCUGCUGCGGCUGCGGCUGCAGCUGCGGCUGCGGCUGCGGCUGAAGCUGUGGCUGCGGACGGACGGGCUCCUUUGUUUCCACACUCAGCUGCUCUGGCCGGCCUCCCCGGGCUCUGCCCUGUUUUGUUUGUGUUGCUGGACCUACUACAGACGCACUCCUGGCAGCGCAGCUGGGAGUACAGCCGAGGCUUCCUCUUUCGCUCAGUUCCUGGCCGCUUUAGUAAGAACAGAAAAGGUGGGCAGGGGCCAACUGGCAGAAGCCACAGAAAUAGCAGCGCAUGAUUCUCAUAGGAGCAGCAAGAAAGGUCGGCACGCAGGACCCCGCCGUCUGCCGAGCUCUUUCAUUGACUAAGGUUGCUUUUGGCACACACAGGCACAAGGGGUUUCCACGCUCAUUUCCCUCCGGUCAGAGCAGACAGCUUUGGCGAUAGACAACUCAGAGGCAGGCCAGCAACCGACUGUCCAGGGACAGGAGAUGGAGACAUUCAAUUGCAAAAGCCACAUGGGAACCCCACAAUCUGAAUCUCUCAACGCGUUCUGCAACAUGGAAACUCCCCGGGGACCUACCGAGGGCCAGGCCACCUCUGAGCCAUGGGAAAAAGUGUGCAGUUCGAGGAUGUGUAAGCGGCAGUGAACCGGCCAUCCCAGCACACGCGUGAGAGGAGGGCUCCGGGAUUAGCAGGCUUGCUUCACCAGCAUGCCGCUCUCAUUAGCUACUGCCGGGAGGGAAUACGUGUGGCGCUGUCUGCAGCGAGGCAGAGGGCGGCGAGUGAGUCAAGCUCUCUCCUUCCGCACGGUUUCUCCUCUCCCUGUCAUUCUCUCCAGCUCUUUCUGGGUCUAGGACAAUACUCAGGUCGAGACAGCUCCAGUCAUAGCUGGAUCUUUCCACUGCUUAGUAAGUAGCACACAGGAGGAUUUGCUGGAGUGGUUUUUUGUUUUGUUUUGUUUUGCUACUAUUAAGCAAGAUUGCUUCAUAAUCCUUUAAGUGUUUUUUAGCCAAGUUUUAUUUACAUAUCCUGGCCAGCCAGCACGUGACUAACCCAGGAUGUCACGGAGGGAAGAAGGCAGAUGCUACAUCUGAAAAAAAUUCUGAUGCUGUUUCACUCAGGAGACACAAACAGCUGAGCCAUCAAGAGGACAACUGUUUGUUGGGCCAACACCACACAAAACUCUCAGACUCUGGAGAUCCUCAGAGACAAGAAGAAGGAGCUGCUGAGUUUAAACAAGAACAAUGAAUUCCUCAAGCCCUGCAAGAAUGUGACAAGGUGUCAACAAAGCCAACCAGGAAGGUGAUGUAUGGCCCGUGGGCUGCAGCUCCCAUAAAUCACUUCACACACCAGAGUUGCAAAGAACUGAGAGAGUGCCUUGCCCUGCAACCCAGAGCCCAGAGCUCCCUGCACCCUCAAAUGCACACACCUCACACCCACCCUCGUCCAGCACCCUCGCUGGAUUCCACCUGUCACCUCUCCACCAACAGACCUGCUCAAGGGUUAAGUACUUUUCCUUCUGUGGCAAAUGCUGCUCAUACACGAUGGGGUACUGUGUAAUUCAAUGUGCUUUAGGGAUGUGUGUCGACACGGCUUUGUUGAAGGCUGUCUGGAAAGUUCUACUCAAAACCCUAAUUUCAAAGGUUUAUAAAUGACAAAAGUAUUUGUUCUUGGGUCAAAAUUUGAUUUAGAAAGUUUGGACUUUAGUGGUGAACUGAUUUUAUGGUUUUCAAAAAUCGGAUGUCAGAAAUUGUUUUGUCUGCUUUAUAAAUGAUACUAAGAGAAACUGAGAAUUACCAGUCUAGAAUUCCUUUCUGGAUUCCUAGGAUGUGGCUUUCUUGAAAAAAAGAAUUGGAUAUAUAGUCGAGUACAUACUGAAAUUAGGAGGGGAAUGGGAGUAUUUAACAUUGCCUUGUGCAAAGUAACUUAUUGACAAAUACAGAAUUAGCAAAUGAGAUAUCUACUAUCACCGUUUUAAUAUAGCUAACUGAUUUUUACUUUAGACUAUGAUGUGGGUAUAAACUUCUGAUGCAAAAACUCCUGAAAAUAUUUAAAUACAAAUGACUGACUAAAUCUGCAGCAACUUUGAAUCCAUUCCAUGAAAAACAUGAUAGAGAAUUUCUAUUUUUUUAAAAUGUCUUAAGUGCAUAUUUAACUAACAGACCAAAAUAACCAAGUAAUUUAUUUAGAAACAUGCAUUCAUAUGAUAAACAUGUAUUCACAUGUAUUCAAACAUGUAUUCAUAUAAACAUGUAUUUAUACAGACUGAUCUGUAACUACUAUACUCUUAUAUAACAAGUUUAGGGGGAAAAGAAAGAAAACAGUUUUAUUGAAAACUAAAGGCAAAAACAGAAGAGAUUAAACUCACCAGUGCUUGUGCUAAUGGAGACCAGGGUGAGCCUGGUUGCAGGUCCAUUUUUUCCCUCCAACCACUUUUUUUUAAAAGCAAAGAUUCUAAAAAUAGCUGGAGCAGCAGAAAUGAGCUCAUUCUCUACUAACUAACCUUGUUCAUUCUCCCAUGGUAGCAAAAAUAAUUCAAAGAGAAAGUAAAUUAAAAAAAAAAAGUAAUGUCCACCAAAUUGGUAGUUCAAACUCAUAGAAAGUUGACUUUUUUGAUGUAAGCCUUGGUAUUAAAAAAAAAAAAAAAA